rnacentral:rRNA from 1 species
GACAGAGGUGCCAAGCGUUAGGCGGAAUCACUGGGCUUAAAGCGUGUGUAGGCGGAUUGGUAAGUACCUUGUGAAAUCCCACGGCUCAACCGUGGAACUGCUCGGUAUACUGCCUAUCUUGAGCCACUUAGGGGCUGUCGGAACAAACGGUGGAGCGGUGAAAUGCGUAGAUAUCAGGAGGAAUACCGAUGGCGAAGGCAGGUCUCUGGGCUGACACUGACGCUCAUGCACGAAAGCGUGGGGAGCAAACAGG